CGUAGGGUGCGAGCGUUAAUCGGAAUUACUGGGCGUAAAGCGUGCGCAGGCGGUUCGUUGUGUCGGUGGUGAAAGCCCCGGGCUUAACCUGGGAAUGGCCAUGGAAACUGGCGAACUGGAGUGUGGCAGAGGGGGGUGGAAUUCCGCGUGUAGCAGUGAAAUGCGUAGAGAUGCGGAGGAACACCGAUGGCGAAGGCAGCCCCCCUGGGCUAGCACUGACGCUCAGGCACGAAAGCGUGGGGAGCAAACAGGAUUAGAUACCCUGGUAGUCCACGCCCUAAACCAUGUCAACUGGGUGUUCGGGAAGCGAUUUCUGAGUACCGUAGCUAACGCGUGAAGUUGACCGCCUGGGGAGUACGGCCGCAAGGUUA
rnacentral:rRNA from 1 species